UGGGGAAUAUUGGACAAUGGGGGAAACCCUGAUCCAGCGACGCCGCGUGGGUGAAGAAGGCCUGCGGGUUGUAAAGCCCUUUCGGUUGGGAAGAAAAGUUGCGACCUAACACGUCGCGACCUUGACGUAACCAACUAAAGAAGCACCGGCUAACUCUGUGCCAGCAGCCGCGGUAAUACAGAGGGUGCGAGCGUUAAUCGGAAUUACUGGGCGUAAAGCGCGCGUAGGCGGCUUGGCAAGUCGGGUGUGAAAUCCCCGGGCUCAACCUGGGAACUGCAGUCGAGACUGCUUUGCUAGAGUAUGGGAGAGGGAAGUGGAAUUUCCGGUGUAGCGGUGAAAUGCGUAGAUAUCGGAAGGAACAUCAGUGGCGAAAGCGACUUCCUGAACCAAUACUGACGCUCAUGUGCGAAAGCGUGGGGAGCAAACA
rnacentral:rRNA from 1 species